UACAGAGGGUGCGAGCGUUGUUCGGAAUUAUUGGGCGUAAAGGGCGCGUAGGCGGUGCGGUAAGUCACCUGUGAAAUCUCCUGGCUCAACUGGGAGCUUGCAGGCGAAACUGCCGUGCUGGAGUGUGGGAGAGGUGCGUGGAAUUCCUGGUGUAGCGGUGAAAUGCGUAGAUAUCAGGAGGAACACCUGUGGCGAAAGCGGCGCACUGGACCACAACUGACGCUGAGGCGUGAAAGCUAGGGGAGCAAACAGG
rnacentral:rRNA from 1 species